GACGAACGCUGGCGGCGUGCCUAAUACAUGCAAGUCGAGCGAACAGACGAGGAGCUUGCUCGUCGGACGAUAGCGGCGGACGGGUGAGUAACACGUGUAUCACCCACCUAUAAGACUGGGAUAACUUCGGGACACCGGAUCUUAUCCCGGAUAAUCUAUUGAACCGCUGGGGUCAAUAGUGAAAGACGGUUUUGCUGGCACUUAUCGAUGGAUCUGCGCCGCAUUAGCUAGUUGGUAAGGUAACGGCUUACCAAGGCAACGAUGCGUAGCCGACCUGAGAGGGUGAUCGGCCACAUUGGAGCUGAGACGCGAUCCAUACGCCUACGGGAGGCAGCAGUAGGGAAUGGUCCGCAGCAGGCGAGAGCCUGACGGAGUGACGCCGCGUGUGAGAUGGAGGUGUUGCGAUCGUGAAGCUCGGUUAUGAGUUGAGAACAGCUGUGGAAGGAACUAUGCACGUCUUGACGGUACCUGAUCAGAAAGCCACGGCUAACUACGUG
rnacentral:rRNA from 1 species